AUGCGCAUGAUUUUGUUUUGUUUACAUUCAUUUUUAGUGAAGAGCUCGCUAGCUUGGUGUGAAAUGAUGAAAAAAUGUAGCUGCAACUAUGCACAUGAUGCAAGAGUUAUAUUUGUGCAGAGGAGGAGCAGUACACAGAGUGAGAGUUCAAGAGAAUCUGCUGAAAUUGAGGUCACAACAGAUCAGUCUCAGGUUCACAUUAGUUUCUCUGCAUGGAGACUCAGCUUUGUCGGUGUCACUUUCAGGAUUGAGAAUAUGAAAGAGAACUUGCAAUCCAUUCAUCAAUGUGCAGUGCCAGGGAACCCAUUUACAUUUUGCAGGUAA
rnacentral:rRNA from 1 species